rnacentral:lncRNA from 1 species
GGCCGUGAGCUUGAAGCCCACAGCCUGGUCGCUGCGCCAUGCGGUGGGACCCCGGCCCCAGACGUUCCUUCUGGACCCCUACAUUGCCCUUAACGUGGACGACUCGCGCAUCGGCCAAACAGCCACCAAGCAGAAGACCAACAGUCCGGCCUGGCACGAUGAGUUCGUCACUGAUGUGUGCAAUGGGCGCAAGAUCGAGCUGGCUGUCUUUCACGAUGCUCCUAUCGGCUACGACGACUUCGUGGCCAACUGCACCAUCCAGUUCGAGGAGCUGCUGCAGAAUGGGAGCCGUCACUUCGAGGACUGGCAACCUAACGAGAGCCUAGCGUAUUGUUGGGUGAAUGAGCGAAUGCCAACAGAGGGAUGCAUCGUGUCUCGGUACUUGCCAUGACACAACACAGUGGGAGAGAUUGGAGCUUUGGUCAGUCAGAAGGUCAAUAUGCUCUCUACCAAAGACUUUUUAUGAAGUCUGAAGUUACAAAAAAGUGGGAGUUAUACACCCUCUGGGUACCCGGGGCCCGUGCAAGGAGCUGUGGUAAAAAGAAACACAGAAAGGCCACUCAUCCUUGUUUGCAGAGUUUAAAAUCAAGUUUAAAUUCUCACUAGGGUUUCUAGCUACACGCAAGACCAAACAAAA